AACAAUUAGCGGCGGACGGGUGAGUAACACGUGGGCAACCUGCCUAUAAGACUGGGAUAACUUCGGGAAACCGGAGCUAAUACCGGAUAUGUUCUUCUCUCGCAUGAGAGAAGAUGGAAAGACGGUCUCGGCUGUCACUUAUAGAUGGGCCCGCGGCGCAUUAGCUAGUUGGUGAGGUAAUGGCUCACCAAGGCAACGAUGCGUAGCCGACCUGAGAGGGUGAUCGGCCACACUGGGACUGAGACACGGCCCAGACUCCUACCGGAGGUAGCAGUAGGGAAUCUUCCGCAAUGGACGAAAGUCUGA
rnacentral:rRNA from 1 species